GCAGAGAACAGUACACGCACCAAAAGAUAAGAAACGACUAGGAAAGAAAGGAAGCAACGUGGCAACUUCCACGCCACUUCCCUGCAAGGAAAACCUCCAUGCCACCUACCGCUAGCUGCAAAUCAGUGAAGUCCAGUAGUCCACCUACCGCACAACAAACUGAGUGUGCUAGAGAGCCAUGGCUAUGGAGGUUCUGUACCCGUUCUUCCUCUGCCUCGCCGUGCUCACCGGCAGAGCAGUCUCCGCCCCACCACACUCGCAGUGCCACGACAACCCGCCGGACAUGACGGCCGCCAGGGUCGAGGCGGGAAAGGUCGUCCAUGACUUUGCUGGCUACACGGCUUACGUUACCGGCGCCAUCCACUCCGACCGGGCCGUCGUCCUGGCCUCCGACGUCUACGGAUUCGAAGCGCCGUUGCUGAGGUUCGACAAUCCAUUGCCGAUCAUUUUAAGUAUUUCUGUUCCAUCAAAAAGACCUAAAUAUUAUGCGUUAAGUUUCGUGUUUAUGCAUGGUUUAGUUUCAAAUAAAAGAAAAGUAAAUUUAUGCCUACAUAAUUCAACGCAAAAAUGGAUGUCCUGGAUGUAUAGUGUACAUGUCGUGGGGUUCAGCAACAACUUUCCCUUUCUUCCUCUUAUAUAUAAAAGCAAAGCAAGAUACUUCCUUCGGAUGUGAUAUAAGUCAGGCACGGGUUUUAUGUGUUUGAUUUCAUUACCGAAAAAUGGAUUGUAUGGCUUCGAAGGUAUUUUCUAGAUUUGUCAUCAACAAAAGUUUCUAAAUAUGUAUUUUUUGUAUUAUGUAUAUGUUUUCCAGUUAAAUUGACUACCUAAAUUCCUGUGUCAGACUAAUAUUAUCGUCCUCCGAAGGAAGUAGUAGCACUGCUGUUUAAGUUAAAUAGUAUGUACAAAGUUACAUGAGCAUGCAUAGAGUGUCGUGCCGGUCAAUAACUUCUUUAUCCCAAUAUCUAUACAUCUAUAAGUAGAAAUCGUGUAAAGCGUUGCUAUACACAGGACAAAUUUACGGCCGACGCUUGCAGGAUCAUACAUGGAGGCCAGCAGCGGGCCUAUAGGGAGGAGGUUAUUCGUUUUUUUGGCUGAUGCUAGUGCUGUUGGGCACCAACUAUUUUUGGCGGAUCGUGCCCAAAGUGACGUAUAUGAAUCAAUUUCAAAUCAUGUAUGGUUGUGAUUAAUGUUUAACAUGACAAGGAAGGAAGAUAGCAGACAAAAUUGGUGAAGCUGGAUACUAUGUCGUGGUCCCUGAUUUCUUUAAUGGGCAACCUUUAACGGGGGCACCAGGUGAAAACCUCACACAAUGGCUCAGUGAGCACUCUCCGGUAAAAGCUGCUCAAGAUGCUAAACCAAUAUUUGCAACCUUGAGAAAAGAGCGAAAAUUUAGUCUUGGAGUUGGAGGAUACUGUUGGGGUGGAAAGUUCGCAGUGGAGGUAGCGAAAAUGAAUGAGGUGAAGGCAGUUGUCAUCUCCCAUCCUUACUCAGUCAUUGUCGGUGAUAUGAGAGAGGUCAAGUGUCCCAUUGAAAUCCUUGGAGGCGAAUAUGACCAAGCUACACCACAAAAGUUCAUAUAUCAGUUUUUGAAUGCCCUUCGCAAAAGAAGUGACAAGAUACCUUACUUCGGGAAGAUCUUUCCAGGAGUUUGCCAUGGCUUUGCUUGUAGAUACAAUGUCACCAACCCAUUCGAAGUCGAAACCGGUGAACAAGCUCUUGCCCUAAUGGUUGGAUGGUUCGAGAAACAUCUGAAAUGACAAAUGCUAAUCAUAAAGGUCAGAUUGAUCUGACCUAUUUAGUUUCAUAUCCAUGUAAAAGUUUCCAACACAAUAUUUAUGUAAUUGCAUAUUCAUAAACGUAAUGUACAUGAAGACGUGGAUAUUGGAAGUACAACACCUGUGAUGAAUGAUGACUUUUGGGAAAGUCAGCAUUCAAAUUAUCCACUCUUCACCCCGCUACAACAAAUUCCUCAGUCCCCUGCACCAACAGUUCAAAUGGGCUCUGAAGAAACUCAUCCCACCUCGUCUGUGCGUGAAGACAUUCCAGCCACUAGUGCUGAAGAAACUGCUGCUGCUGAUCAUGUGACAACACAGACUGCACCUGAAGAGGAACCAGAAAUUCCUCAGACUGAUGAACCUGAGAUUGCGAUUCCUGAGGUCGUGAUGCAACUCACUAACACUCCUCUGCCAAAGCCAAAGGAUCCGUUCUCAAGGAAGCAAAAAUUCAAGGCUGAAGACUUCUUUGGCGAGCAUGUAUUCUUCACAGAUUACAACCCCUAUGACUCUGCUAGCAUAAGGAAGAGACAUUUUUGGACUGCUAGUCAAGCAAAUUUCUAUUCCAUAGUGCUGUUUAACAAAGACAAAGUCUUCGAUCAUGCACAUAUUCCUCACGCGGACAUGGAGUCUCUGCCGUGCUUCGAGCCAGUCCUCAGUGUUCUUCAUGAUGCUGGGCUGCUAAACUUCUGCACUGACAUCUGUGAUUGGAAUGAAGAACUCAUUCUUCAGUUCUAUGCAACGCUGCAGAUCACAGGAGAUUCUAAAGAUGUGAACUCAUGGGUACUGGACUGGAUGAAAGAAAAUACUCAUUACAAGGCACCAGCUUCUGAAUUGCUUCGUGCCCUACCACUCAGUCCUCCCCUUGAAGGUGCACGUUGUGUCUAUAGUGAACAUGAGCUUACAAAUCACUACAUGCAAGUUUUGAUGAAGCCUUGAAGCCAGGGCAGGACCCUCGAACCAAUUUCCUCGUCAAGGAAUUGUUGUAUGUGCCUCGGACUGUCUAUCGCAUUCUGUCGAAGACAAUGAGUCCUAUCAAAGGCCACGACUCAAAUGAUGAAGAAGUCGUUGGCAUCAUGAAGAAUCUUCUUUUCAACAUCAUUCGUGGUGUUCCCGUCAACUUUCAUGAUUUCUUCAUGAGGACUCUGGCCAAUAUAACUAUGUCACCAUUUGAGCUGAAGCCUUAUGCGCCGUGGAUUAUGAGAUUCAUCAGGACAAGGUCUUCACUCAACUACAAAGCUGACACUCUGAACCACUGCAGCUACUUGCCUCCAAUUAAAGUCCUCAAACGGACAUUUUCCUCAGCUGAUGACAAAGGCAAGGCAGCUGCUGUGAUAGAUGAAGGCAUUCGUCUAUUGGAUGGUCAAUUUCGCAAGGAUGUAUCCUAUUCCACCAAUGAUGACUCUGCCACUCAUGACUCUGCCGCCAACAACACCAAGCAAAAUCUUCAAGCCACAAUACCCAGGGUGAUGACUGAUCGUGAGUUACUCCUCAGUCUUCAUCAGAAGGUUGAUCGCAAUCAUAAAUGGGUCAAGCGUCAGUUUAGUUCAAUUCUUCACAACAUGACCUCCACACACAAUACAGUGAAGAAAAACCACUACUAUCUCCAUGAAACCUUCAACCGUACCUGGGCUGUUCUCUCUCAUGUCUACAGCGCUAAAGAUCUGAAGAAAAUGAGUCUCAAGGAAGAAUUUGACUGGUCUGCACCUCCUCCGAAGAAAUACAAGAAGGUCAAGGUUCCUUCUUUGGUGGCCAGCUCCUAUUCUUCAUCGCGUGACACUGAUGAACAUGAAGACUUGGACGACACAGCGGCAGGCCCUACUACAACAAUCGACCCCAACAACGCUGGCGCUCCUUCAUCAACUUGAUUAUCUUCAGGGGUGUUAGUCCUCAGUUUUGAUCCUUUUGGUCAUUCGAUGACAAAGGGGGAGAAAUUUGG
rnacentral:rRNA from 1 species